rnacentral:tRNA from 1 species
GCCUUCGUAAUAUAACGGUAAAACACUCGGCGUAUAAUCGAGAGGUCCGGGUUCGAGUCCCAGCGAGGGCA